GGGUGAUUGGGCGACCGAAUAAAUAAGUCCUUUGGAAAGGGGCAACAUAGAGGGUGACAUUCCCGUCUUUGGUUCGAGUCAGUUCAAUCGCUACCCAGGAAACGACGAGUCAGGUUGUUUGGGAAUGCAGCCUAAAAUGGGAGGUAAAUCUCUCCUAAAGCUAAAUACUGGCGUAAGACCGAUAGCGAACAAGUACCGUGAGGGAAAGAUGAAAAGGACUUUGAAAAGAGGGUCAAAUAGUACGUGAAAUUGUUGAAAGGGAACCGUAUGAAAGUAGACUGGCUUGGUGAUGAUCAAUGUGUGUUUCGACACGCAUGCACUCAUUGCCAAUUGCCAGCCAGCGGCAGUUUUUGUUGAAGGAAGAAAAUCUUGGGAAUGUGGCUUUGACCUUGGUUGAAGUGUUAUAGCCCUUGAUAAAAUACUUUGGCAGAGACUGAGGCUAGCAGUGGGUCUUUUGGGAAGUUUGCUCGCUUGUCGCUUGAUGGUCAAGUUUUUCUUCGGAUGCUUGGUGAUUGAGAGGCAACUCGUGUGAUGCUUCACCCUCCCACUUAGGUCGCUGGCGUAAUGCUUUUAUAUGACCCGUCUUGAAACACGGACCAAGGAGUCCACGUAUAGAGCGAGUCGUUGGGUGGCAAACCCAUAGGCGAAGUGAAAGCGAUUGGGAAGAAGCUGUGAAAGGUGGCACUCCCGGGGGGAUAUGACGUUUUAUACAGAUUGACCUCACCCAAAGCUCUAUGCAUGGGACCCGAAAGAUGGUGAACUAUACUUGAAUAGGGUGAAGCCAGAGG
rnacentral:rRNA from 1 species